rnacentral:rRNA from 1 species
UGCUCCGCCCCACCGCAUGGUGGGGUGGGAAAUGCUUUUUGCGGCAUGGGAUGGGGUCGCGUCCUAUCAGCUUGUUGGCGGGGUGAUGGCCCACCAAGGCGUUGACGGGUAGCCGGCCUGAGAGGGUGACCGGCCACAUUGGGACUGAGAUACGGCCCAGACUCCUACGGGAGGCAGCAGUGGGGAAUAUUGCACAAUGGGCGCAAGCCUGAUGCAGCGACGCCGCGUGCGGGAUGGAGGCCUUCGGGUUGUAAACCGCUUUUGUUCAAGGGCAAGGCACGGCUUCGGGCCGUGUUGAGUGGAUUGUUCGAAUAAGCACCGGCUAACUACGUGCCAGCAGCCGCGGUAAUACGUAGGGUGCGAGCGUUAUCCGGAUUUAUUGGGCGUAAAGGGCUCGUAGGCGGUUCGUCGCGUCCGGUGUGAAAGUCCAUCGCCUAACGGUGGAUCUGCGCCGGGUACGGGCGGGCUGGAGUGCGGUAGGGGAGACUGGAAUUCCCGGUGUAACGGUGGAAUGUGUAGAUAUCGGGAAGAACACCAAUGGCGAAGGCAGGUCUCUGGGCCGUUACUGACGCUGAGGAGCGAAAGCGUGGGGAGCGAACAGGAUUAGAUACCCUGGUAGUCCACGCCGUAAACGAUGAUUGCUAGGUGUAGGUGGGUAUGGACCCAUCGGUGCCGCAGCUAACGCAAUAAGCAAUCCACCUGGGGAGUACGUUCGCAAGAAUGAAACUCAAAGGAGUUGACGGGGACCCGCACAAGCGGCGGAGCAUGCGGAUUAAUUCGAUGCAACGCGAAGAACCUUACCUGGGCUUGACAUGUUCCCGACGGUCGUAGAGAUGCGGCUUCCCUUCGGGGCGGGUUCACAGGUGGUGCAUGGUCGUCGUCAGCUCGUGUCGUGAGAUGUUGGGUUAAGUCCCGCAACGAGCGCAACCCUCGCCCCGUGUUGCCAGCGGAUUAUGCCGGGAACUCACGGGGAACCGCCGGGGUUAACUCGGAGGAAGGUGGGGAUGACGUCAGAUCAUCAUGCCCCUUACGUCCAGGGCUUCACGCAUGCUACAAUGGCCGGUACAACGGGAUGCGACGCGGCGACGCGGAGCGGAUCCCUGAAAACCGGUCUCAGUUCGGAUCGCAGUCUGCAACUCGACUGCGUGAAGGCGGAGUCGCUAGUAAUCGCGAAUCAGCAACGU